rnacentral:lncRNA from 1 species
AUGAGGGUUUGUUUCUUUUUGUUCGAACCUUUGUUGAUUGAGUUAAUCAAGUUGUGGAUCUGGAUAUGUUAUAGAGGUUAUAUAACAAGAACUAGCUUAUAUCCCGUGUGACACACGGGUUUAACAAAGUUAAAUUUACACAUAUUAAUAAAUAUGAUGUAUGAUUUUUAAAAAAAAUCCAAAUAACAUGAAACCAAAUAAUUUAAAAUAAUAAUGUUUUGACACUUGUUCGACAUCUCCAUUUUUUAAAAUGUUCCUAUGAAAUGUUUAUUUAAAGUAUGAAGUAACAUAAAUUAAUGCUAAUCUAAAAUAAAAAUAAGUAAAUAAAUAACAAACUAAAAUCAUCCGCCUGCAUGUAACCUCCCCCACCACUCACCUGCAUCGUUUCCAUGUGAAAUUGAAUUAAAAACACUAUAUUUUGUAUUUUAUAUAUACAUACAUAUAUGCCUAUAUUUGAAAAUGUUGACUUACAGUCUCCAAACAUGCAGAUAAAAUGGUCAUGGCAGGCAGUGCAUCAAUUCCAUGCUGCUUUUAUUAAACAAUAAUUCUGAGAAAAUAUACAUAUUUUAAAAAACCCAUUUUAAUGAAAGAGUAAAUAGCAUAGCUUGCUUGUCUUUGUACUUGAGUCUUGUAAAUAAAGCCAUCGCAGCAGAAUCUGCUCCACCACAUUUUGUUAAUGAACACCUCAAUUUUUAAAUAGCAAUAA